rnacentral:lncRNA from 1 species
AACAGAAGACUGAUGAUGCGUGACAUGUAGAGAUUGUGAUAGACGUGAUUGUUGCCGCCAAUACAGUAGUUAAUGCCAAUAAUAGACGAAUCAUACUUUACACCACUUUCGAAGGAAUAUGUGCAGACAUGCUCCAAUUCCUCCCACACGGAUGCAAUUUGAAUCUUGAUCUUUUCAAAAUCUAUACGACAGUUAUGAAAUUUCACCU